rnacentral:rRNA from 1 species
GACGAACGCUGGCGGCGUGCUUAACACAUGCAAGUCGAACGGUGAAGCUCGGAGCUUGCUCUGGGUGGAUCAGUGGCGAACGGGUGAGUAACACGUGAACAACCUGCCCCGGACUCUGGAAUAAGCGCUGGAAACGGUGUCUAAUACUGGAUACGAGACGGAACCGCAUGGUUACCGUUUGGAAAGUUUUUCGGUCUGGGAUGGGCUCGCGGCCUAUCAGCUUGUUGGUGAGGUAAUGGCUCACCAAGGCGACGACGGGUAGCCGGCCUGAGAGGGCGACCGGCCACACUGGGACUGAGACACGGCCCAGACUCCUACGGGAGGCAGCAGUGGGGAAUAUUGCACAAUGGGCGAAAGCCUGAUGCAGCGACGCCGCGUGAGGGAUGACGGCCUUCGGGUUGUAAACCUCUUUCAGCAGGGAAGAAGCUUUUGUGACGGUACCUGCAGAAGAAGCACCGGCUAACUACGUGCCAGCCGCCGCAGUAAUAC